GAAGGUGUAGCUCAGUCGGUAGAGCAACGGACUUUUAAUCCGUAGGUCCUGGGUUCGAGCCCCAGCACCUUCA
rnacentral:tRNA from 1 species